UGCCUUCUUUUGAGAGACACCCACAACCAUAUAAUCAACCAUUUCUACAGCUACAGUCACUGCCAGCCAUAUCAUAGCACUGAAAAAAAUAACACAUAUUUUAAGAUUAAAAGGGAAGAUUUUACGACAUUUCUAUUUCAUUAUAUAUCGUGACGUUUUACUACAAGGAGAUACAAUGCAUUUUACAUUACAAAAGCGAAAUAAGACGUGGAUGCCAGCUAUCAAUUUGAGCAUCGUGGGGUUGAUGGUUUAUAUUAUGGCCUGCCCUGCGUCCAGUAUGGAUGUCCUGGUCCAUAACCAGAUCAACGUCCUGAACGGCACCAUGGUGAGGAUCCAGUGCAUCUUCACCUCCUGCUACAAGAUGGACGUCAACAAGUUUGCCAUGAACUGGACCUACCAGGAGAACACCAACGAGACUGAGGAGAUGUUCAUGACCUAUAAGAAGGGGAUGAUGCCCCUGCGGACAGACCAGUUCAGUGACCGGGUGCAGUUUGUGGGUAACCUGGAAAAGAACGACUUGUCCAUCACCCUCUCUGAUGUCCAGCUGUCGGACGAGGGCGUCUAUAACUGCUACGUGCGCAACCCCCCCGACCGCAUCCAGGGCCACGGAAUCAUCAACAUGUUUGUCGUCACAGAACUGCCUCCCCCGCGGGACUCGACCAUAGCAGUGGCGAUCGGGGCAUCAGUCGGCGGUGCGCUGGCUCUGCUCAUCCUGUCCAUGGUGGUGGUGAAGUGUAUAAGGCGCCACAAGAAACAGGAGCUCGUCUCUGACGAGCAGAAGAUGGAGGAAGAGGGCAAGCUGGAUGCAGAGGGGGGCACCGAGGAGGGAACCAAGCAGCUAUAACCGGCCUGCAUGGUCCCGGAGACCCAAGGUUCGCUGGAGCCACACCCCCUCCCUCACGCUGGAAAGCAUUCCUGCCUGAAGAUGUAUAGUGACCCUUCCUUGAAUCCUUGUCCAGCAUCUGCCUCACCCCACGCCCCCUCCUCUUGUCCAGCCAAACAAAAUUGCCGUUAUGGGAAGCUCCAGCCGCCAGCCACGCCACCCACGCCACCCCUGCCUCUGUCUUCAGUCGGCCAUCUUAUCUUCUCUCUUCUUUGACAAGAAGCCACAAAAGGCGGAGGAAGCUAGUGGACGGCAGCCUCCAAACGACGUUCCCCUUUCCCCUUUUUCCUCGCUUCUAGUCUCUCUUAAAAGACAGACGUAGGACAUGUCAAAUGCACUGCAGGACAUUUAAAAUGUGUACUGUAUUUGUGGUUUAAAAAGGGUUCUGAAGUUUGUAAUUUCCACUUGGAAAUUUUUGACCUGAUUUUCCCUUAAGAAAAAUGUAUCAGCUCCUAGAAAAAUAUCGAUUCAUUAUGAUCCACAUAAUAAUUAACAUGUACUGUUGCUGCAGGAUUUUUUUCCUGCUGUAGCAAACUGGCUCAAAUUAAAAUCCUACAUCUGCAGAGUAAAUGGAUGGUUUGACAGCCAUGAAUACUGGGAAAGAUCCAGCUCUCACACUCUCUCUCUCUCUCCCUCUCUCUCUCGCUCGCUCUCUCUCUCUUUUUCCUGCUCUAUCACAUUACUUAGCGAUGCAUAAUGGCUGGGGCAAAAAAAGUUCCCUGUUUCUUUCUGACAGCGAGUGUGUGUGCAAAUGACAACUGUUCUGUGUGCGAAUGGUAUGGAUGGAUUUUUUUGUCUGUGAGUGUUCGUUUUUUUAUGUACAGGGUAUAAGCUUGUGAAGGACCUUCAGAUGUCACUACGGGCAAUGUGGGUGUAUACACGUGUGUGAAUAUGUGUGCGUUUGAGUGUCCUUAGAGUGUUUGAGUGUCUUCUCUUCAAACUCAGACUCUCGCUGAAUGGAGAUGCCAGGGGUGAUUUUAUCAGUAGUCAAUUCUUCUGAACCCUUGCUUCACCUCCAAUAUGAUAUGUUAGCCUGUGUUGCUUCCUCAUACUAAGUUACUACUGUAUCAUAUAUUAGCAUGAUAUUUCUUGCACACAUUAUGACAGGCACAAUUCUGCCUACGAUGGAUGGAUCAUUAACCUGUUGGUCUUUGAUGAUAUUGUAAUUCACAUUGCACAAAAAGCCCAAUCCCCAAAUGAUGUCUCCCUUUUUGUCCACCUGCACUAACACGUGACACUCAAGUGAGCACGCAGACACAUUGACUAUACGUGAACCAACACAUAAGCUUCGACCACCACAUACAGGCUGCUUUGCACAUCAGACGUCCACACAAAGAGGCCUACACAUACACACAAGCUGAGCACUUUCAGGGAAAACAGAAAAAAAGUUAGCGUAACAUUUCUAUCAGAUACAUAUAUUUCUACGUUUUGUCCUAAUACCAAGCUGUAUUCUAGAGGCGUGCCUUGAUUGCUGUCGCUAUUUAGGUGUGGUCCUCACCGUCUUAAACUAUCAAUGUUUGAAUGUAUGGGACCUCUCUCCUCUGAGGUAAUUGAUCUUGGAUGUUCUCUGGAUGUUACAUAUUUAGCUACAUGAGUGUUGCACUGGCUGUGACUGUAUUUCGGGACACAACGUGAGAUGUAAUUAAUACACAAUCAAUCAUUCCACUUUCCACCCAUUGCACUUCAAACUACCUUCAAAGUCGUAGGGCUUCAAUUACAUUAUCCUAAGAGCAUUAUAAUGUAUGUACGUCUGGGAAGGAUCACAAAAAAAGUAUCCAAAAGCACAGAUGAACUUUGGAAUUGCUAAAACAACAUCACAACCGCAAAAUAGUACCGUUAUUUAUUUGAGUUAAUAUUUGUAAUAUGUUGUCUUAAUUUGCUCCUUGUGUCUAAAAGUCUUGGCUUUGUAUUUUUUCAACAGACCUUGUUGGUGGAGCAGACAGGCUAUGGGAGUGUAACUGUAGUUACUGUAUAUGACUGGGUGCCUCUGGUAUUGUCUGAUGUGGUUUCAAGGGCUAAAGCCAGGGGCCACGCUGAUUCUGUGCCCAGGAGUGCCCUACCUCAUCUGGAGACAGUCUCUGCCUGUCUCUGCAAUGGCCACCACAUUCAUUGGCUGCCUUUACGUUAUUCACUGCCAGAGCUUGUUUUCUUUUUAUUUGUCUCCUCAGAUCUCCUAGCCGUUCUAGUUUAGAUUUCUCUUGGUCGAGUAUUGUACUUUGAUAUUGUCGAAUUUUGUACCGCAUAGUCAUGUAAUGUGUACUUCCUGCCAGGACUUUGUGGUUGUCCUGGCUGUUGACGUUGUUGUAGCCAUCAUUACUUGGUCUUUGGGAAGUUGGAGUUUGGGGCGCUCGCAUCUGAAAGAUCAUUAAUUAAACAGUGGAAGGUCAAUGCUGAUCUCCACCUGUAGGGCGUACACGCUCUCAUUCUAGACUUACUUAAUGACUAAUAUAAAUUCAUUCAACUGAUGUGCAAUUGUGAGUGUGGUGUGUAAAUCAGUAUGUAGGGAGUCUGAGACAUCAGCUGGAAUCAUGGUGAGAAAUACGUCUGGGAAGCUUGUUGCCACAACCAGAGACUAUAACUAAGUCACAAUCAGACGUAAUUAUCCAAAGUAACCUCAAGAAUUAAAAAUAAUAAUAAUUGAGAUUGUACUGUAUUUUAUACACGAACACACACACACCGACACACACUGCUACCGGUGGCUAGGGGACAAAGCAAUACAUGUAGCCUCAUGAAAUAAACAUCACCUCCAUUUCCCCUGUCACUCACUCUGACGUCUCCGCUGGACUCCUGAAUGCCGGGAUAGCUAGCUGGGAUAGUGGAGGUCCCAGAGUUUUGCGUUUGACUCUCUCUCUCUGUGUGGUCAUGCAUGUUUUUGCUGCAGUUGUUCCUCUGUGACGCAUGGCUCUAACCAGGCCCCUCUCGCACCGAACACCAGAAAUGCUUGUCUCUAAUAAUGAGCUGUAUUCAUUAUUGUAUUUUGAAAUAAAAUGCGCAUAGAAAUAUUA